rnacentral:rRNA from 1 species
UACGGGGGGGGGCAAGCGUUGUUCGGAAUUACUGGGCGUAAAGGGCUCGUAGGCGGCCAACUAAGUCAGACGUGAAAUCCCUCGGCUUAACCGGGGAACUGCGUCUGAUACUGGAUGGCUUGAGUUUGGGAGAGGGAUGCGGAAUUCCAGGUGUAGCGGUGAAAUGCGUAGAUAUCUGGAGGAACACCGGUGGCGAAGGCGGCAUCCUGGACCAACACUGACGCUGAGGAGCGAAAGCGUGGGGAGCAAACAGG